rnacentral:misc_RNA from 1 species
AACGCACGAGACCUGCGGACCUGCGGAGGGAUCAUUACAGGACUCGCAAGACUCCUACAACCCUGUGAACUUAACUAUAAGCACGUUGCUUCGGCGGGUGUCUCGGCGAGGGUUCUCCCUCCCCGGGGCGCUGAGCCCGCCGGCAGCCUACUAUACUCUGUCUCUUUGCGUUGGCAUCUCGAGUACAAACAAACAAGUUAAAACUUUCAGCAACGGAUCUCUAGAUCGGAAGAGCACACG